AAUAGCGUGUUUGCGUUGGGCGAACAUAUCCGAUUUCCGGUCCGCCCCCUAUACGUCAUCAUUAAGUAAACUUUGACCCGGAACCUCACAGCCAGCAGACACAUCACUUCCCUCCCAGGAAGUGUCUGCUGACUGUGAGGUUCCGGGUCAAAGUUUACUUAAUGAUGACGUAUAGGGGGCGGACCGGAAAUCGGAUAUGUUCGCCCAACGCAAACACGCUAUU